UACGUAGGGUGCAAGCGUUGCCCGGAUUUAUUGGGCGUAAAGGGCGCGUAGGCGGCUCUGCACGUUCGUUGUGAAAUCGCCCGGCUCAACUGGGCGGGGUCAGCGGAUACGGCAGAGCUUGAGCAAGCUAGGGGGCAAUGGAAUUCCCGGUGUAGUGGUGGAAUGCGUAGAUAUCGGGAAGAACACCCGUGGCGAAGGCGGUUCUCUGGGACGGUACUGGACGCUGAGACGCGAAAGCGUGGGGAGCGAACAGG
rnacentral:rRNA from 1 species